rnacentral:rRNA from 1 species
UGCAGUCGAGCGAACUGACGAGGAGCUUGCUCCUUUGACGUUAGCGGCGGACGGGUGAGUAACACGUGGGUAACCUACCUAUAAGACUGGAAUAACUCCGGGAAACCGGGGCUAAUGCCGGAUAACAUAUCGAACCGCAUGGUUCGAUAGUGAAAGACGGUCUUGCUGUCACUUAUAGAUGGACCCGCGCCGUAUUAGCUAGUUGGUGAGGUAACGGCUCACCAAGGCGACGAUACGUAGCCGACCUGAGAGGGUGAUCGGCCACACUGGAACUGAGACACGGUCCAGACUCCUACGGGAGGCAGCAGUAGGGAAUCUUCCGCAAUGGGCGAAAGCCUGACGGAGCAACGCCGCGUGAGUGAUGAAGGUCUUCGGAUCGUAAAGCUCUGUUGUUAGGGAAGAACAAAUGUGUAAGUAACUGUGCACAUCUUGACGGUACCUAACCAGAAAGCCACGGCUAACUACGUGCCAGCAGCCGCGGUAAUACGUAGGUGGCAAGCGUUAUCCGGAAUUAUUGGGCGUAAAGCGCGCGUAGGCGGUUUUUUAAGUCUGAUGUGAAAGCCCACGGCUCAACCGUGGAGGGUCAUUGGAAACUGGAAAACUUGAGUGCAGAAGAGGAAAGUGGAAUUCCAUGUGUAGCGGUGAAAUGCGCAGAGAUAUGGAGGAACACCAGUGGCGAAGGCGGCUUUCUGGUCUGUAACUGACGCUGAUGUG